rnacentral:rRNA from 1 species
AAAAACCUGGUGGAGGCCUAACACAUGCAGUCGAGCGCGCCCUUCGGGGUGAGCGGCGGACGGGUUAGUAACGCGUGGGAAUAUACCCGACACUAAGGAAUAGCCUCUGGAAACGGAGAGUAAUACCUUAUACGCCCUUCGGGGGAAAGAUUUAUCGGUGACGGAUUAGCCCGCGUUAGAUUAGAUAGUUGGUGGGGUAAUGGCCUACCAAGUCUACGAUCUAUAGCUGGUUUUAGAGGAUGAUCAGCAACACUGGGACUGAGACACGGCCCAGACUCCUACGGGAGGCAGCAGUGGGGAAUCUUGGACAAUGGGCGCAAGCCUGAUCCAGCCAUGCCGCGUGAGUGAUGAAGGCCUUAGGGUCGUAAAGCUCUUUCGCCAGAGAUGAUAAUGACAGUAUCUGGUAAAGAAACCCCGGCUAACUCCGUGCCAGCAGCCGCGGUAAUACGGAGGGGGUUAGCGUUGUUCGGAAUUACUGGGCGUAAAGCGCGCGUAGGCGGAUUAGUAAGUUAGAGGUGAAGUCCCGGGGCUCAUCCCCGGAACUGCCUUUAAUACUGCUAGUCUUGAGUUCGAGAGAGGUGAGUGGAAUUCCGAGUGUAGAGGUGAAAUUCGUAUAUAUUCGGAGGAACUCCAGUGGCGAACGCGGCUCAGUGUCUCGAUACUGACGCGGAGGUGCUAAAGUGUGGAGAGCAGACAGGAUUACAUACCCUGGUAGUCCACACCGUAGACGAUGAGUGCCAUUCGUCGGGUAGCAUGCUAAUUCGUGCACGCACAUAUGAGGACUAAGCAUUUCUGUCUGGGGAGAACGGACAGCAAGAAUUAUAACCUCGAUUGUACUUGACCG